CACAAAUACAAAUUCUCCUAUCUACACGGAAAGAGUCUCCUUUAUAUUUGCACGGUGUAUCGAUCAAUAACAUCAACAGGAUUACAACACACAACAUAUAUUCACCAAAUCCACAGGCAAUUUAUGCGAUGCAUUCACAUACAACUAACCAUCCUUAAAAAUGAUGCAUGCCUCUAAGCACUUUUCAGGCGCUGGAUAAUGCGAUGCACAAUACAACAAUCAUACUAUUUAAAAGUAAUGAAGAGAUAUCAGAAGGUUAGUAGCAAUGAGAUAAUAAUAAACAAUAAAUGCGAAAAUACCGCUACUGAGCAUAAAACAACAUCUAGGCAUAAUCAACAGGUAUACUAAAAUAGUAACAAUAAUGGCUAGGAAAGAACUAUAACUUCCAAUCAGUAUAUAACUAACUGCUACUAUAACUAACCAUAGAACGUACCAAUACAUCAACUGAGUGAACAAAACCAACAACCAAAACCACUACUGUAUUG
rnacentral:lncRNA from 1 species